rnacentral:rRNA from 1 species
GCCAACGUCCAUACCACGUUGAACACACCGGUUCUCGUCCGAUCACCGAAGUUAAGCAACGUCGGGCGCGGUCAGUACUUGGAUGGGUGACCGCCUGGGAACACCGCGUGCCGUUGGCU